rnacentral:tRNA from 1 species
GGUGUUAUGGCUCAGAGGUAGAGCACUCGCCUCGCAUGUGCAAGGCCUUGCGUUCGAUCCUCAGCACCA